rnacentral:rRNA from 1 species
CAGUAGCCGCGGUAAUACAGAGGCCUCAAGCGUUGUUCGGAUUCAUUGGGCGUAAAGGGUGCGUAGGUGGCUUGGUAAGUUGAAGGUGAAAUCUCGGGGCUUAACCCCGAAACUGCCUUCAAUACUGCUAGGCCCGAGGACUGUAGAGGAGAAUGGAAUUCACGGUGUAGCAGUGAAAUGCGUAGAGAUCUGGAGGAAUACCGAUGGCGAAGGCAGCCAUCUGGCCUAAUACUGACGCUGAGGUACGAAAGCAUGGGGAGCAAACAGGAUUAGAUACCCCUGUAGUCCCUGUCUCUUAUAC